rnacentral:rRNA from 1 species
UACGUAGGGUGCGAGCGUUAAUCGGAAUUACUGGGCGUAAAGCGUGCGCAGGCGGUUUUGUAAGCCAGAUGUGAAAUCCCCGGGCUUAACCUGGGAAUGGCAUUUGGGACUGCAAGGCUGGAGUGUGGCAGAGGAGACUGGAAUUCCUGGUGUAGCAGUGAAAUGCGUAGAUAUCAGGAGGAACACCAGUGGCGAAGGCGAGUCCCUGGACGAUACCUGACACUGAGGCACGAAAGCUAGGGGAGCAAACAGG